rnacentral:lncRNA from 1 species
UUUUUUUUUCUUUUUUUUUAUUUCCUCAGGUACAAAAUGCUAAACAGGAGGCGAGCCCCUCUGCAUUCAGGUGAUUUUUUUUCCCGCUUUUUUUAAAAAUUCUUUUCCCCACAAACUGGUUUUAUUUGUCAAUUUAUUUUUUUUCAUCCUCUUCACCAGUAAAGAUUAUGAGCGUUUAUUAAAAAAAAAAAAAAAAAGUCGAAAACAAAACAAAGGGAGAGAAUAGAGCUAUGAUAUGUAUGUACGUAACACUACAAAGAGCUACAGUAAUAUGUGCUGUGGUUAUUGCUGUCUUCAAAAAAGAAAAAAAAAAACCGGUAGGCAACUCGGAAUCUGAAGGAAUCUUGUCUGACAACUGUCUAUCCGUGUGGGCUACUGUGUGGUGGUGGUGGUGGUGGCGGUGGUGGCAGCGGUGGUGGUGGCGGCGACGGUGGCGGGAGAUUCGGGACUCAGGCUGGUGGCCGGGGACCUGAGAAGGUGGCUGACGCUCCCCACCUUCCCUUUCCCCACCCAGAGGAGUUUGAGAGGGGGGCCAGGGUCUGUGAGGAUGGCUAGACCAUAUAACUCCAUUAGAAAACCCAGAAAGUAUGUUUAUAAAAAGAAACAAAAACCCAGGAGGAGAAAAAAAAAAAAAAAAGUGGAGAAAAGUGCAAAAGGAAGUCUUGCACUUUAGUGGUUUUAAAAAUAAAGACAGUACAACGCCCAGGUGGCUGGCUUGGCAAGUCCCCAUCCCCUUGUGCCACCACUUCUCAAAAUUUAGCCUCCUUUCUCCUGCAAACCACAAAUGUCCUCUUUGAGACCCAGGGUUGCUUCUCGUGGGCUCACUUCCCUCUAAGGCCCCCGUGCACCGAGGCCCUCCCUGGUGCCAACAAGCCAGGUGUCGGGAGAGCGGUGGCCGGGCCCACCUGCCCGGGGGAGGCUGACCCUGCAGGAUUCCCGGGGAGACCACUGAGAUGGCGAUGGGCAAAUGAGCGAGGAGACAGGAGGUAGACCGCACGGGGCCGCCUGGGCCUCCCGUCCUCCCCUGUGGGGGUUGAAUGUCUCCAGGCCUGUCUGUGUAGGCCUGGCUGUCUGAGAAACGUUCGAGCGUCACCCGUCCCAGAUGCCCUGUUUGCCCAGGUGGGUAGGGAAGCUCUGGGGGAAGGAGGACGGGUCCUGGCGAGGCCUCCAUCCGCGACCCGGCGGCAGUGGCAAUGACAGGUAGUCGUCUCCCUGCCAGAGCGAGGCACAGGUCAGAGGGGAUGGGAAGAGGCCUACUGUUGGGUGGGUGGGUGGGUGGGUGGGGGUGACAUUUAGUCUUGAGGCCACAGAGAACUACAGAGCCUGAGGCCUCGAGGUGAAGCAACAGUAGCCCUCAGGCAGCCUGGAGUCAAGGAGAUCCCGGGUCAGGAUCCCCGCUGGCGGCGCUGCCCACCAGCCUUCCCUCCCGCCCUCCUGGCUCAGGGACGCUCCAUCUCCGUCCUCCUCCUCGACUCCCUCCCCAGGCCAGGCCGCCCCCUUGGGAGGCUAGUCUCAUCCCUCAUCCGUCAUGCAGGUCCUGCGUCGUCUAGGGAGUGGCCAGCUGACCGGAGUCACCCCUGCAAGCACUGGGCUCACAGGCUUGGGUGAGUCGCGGGAGCUCCGGAAACCCGAAGACUGCUGGGGUUCAAGCAGGCCCUACUCCCCCACCUCAUGGCCGGCGGCAGGCUCCCCUUCAGAGUCCGGGACGCAGCAGGGGGAAAGGAGAGAGCCUCUCUCAGGAACCAGGUCCAGGUCUUGGGAGGGGUGUGCGGUGGGGGGUAUGCAAUUCCUGGCUCAGUCUUUUCUUAGGGGGAAUGGCACCCCAGUAUCCACUUGGCAGAUCCCAGUUAGACGGCUGCUCAAGAUGCGCAGAAAGGAUGGGCAAACGGUAGAGUGAAGCGGGAAAGGUUUACAAUACUGGCCUCAGACACGGAAAUGUGAGUCGGGGGUUUGGGGAGAGAGUUGUGCAGAGAGAUGGGGCGCACUGACGCGGCAGGUCGACUCAGUCCUCUCGGCCGCCAUCCCCAUCGGGCCCUUUGUCCUGUGGCAAUCGACCGUCUCUCCUGUCCCAGCCAACUGUCCUGGGGUGGGGGGCGGUUAGGGAGGCAGGAAUCCCCCCCCGCACCCCAGCCCCAAGUCCCGUAGCUGCAAGUCUCCCACCAGCUGAAAUGUGUCUGCUUCUCCGCUGGAGAAGUUGGGCGCUGGAGUGGUCCCCACGGCGUCACGCCAUCAGGGAAGAGUGGAGAGAGUUGUGUCCACAGCGAGGAGGGGGCCCCUUCGCCGGUGUCCCAGCCCCCUCUCCCGGCAGGCUGGCUCCGGCCUCCGAGGACAGCCCCACGGGCGCCGGUUUGUUGAGGACGUCAGCGGGAAUGGGAGUUUCCUUGGUUCCGAACCUGGCUCCUGAGGACAGCACCCUGCAGCAUCCGCUCGUCCUGGGCCCUUGUCCCGUCCCCCGCCCCAGGGAGAGAGCCUGCGCCGGGCUGGCCGGAGGCGUUGAAGGGCUUGCAACAGUCUGCCACCUGUCCCUCACUGCAGAGCGGAGGUGGCCACCCGCGUGCACGGUCUUGUCCCUCCGAAGGCACGGCCGGUCUGUGCCGAUCCCUGCUCCUGCCCAGCGGCAGGUGUCUAGAGCCCACCUAACGGUGCCCACCGUCCCCAGCGCCCAGGCCUGGAGCAAGCUCAUUUCUCUCUGAGGAACUGCGCCCCCAUUCUCUUCUUGCUGUCGUCUUGAGUCCCAAAGGCCUAGAGGAUGGGGAGCCAGGCAAUCGCGCUGGGCUUCGUCCCCCUUCCUGUUGCUUUGCUCCAGAGCUAGAAGGAGGCAGUCCCCCCUGGCCCUCCAGCCGGUCCCCCCUCUCCUGCUCCCCUUUUACCGGCUCCCCUGCGUUCACCCCGGCUCACGUCCCUCCCGCUCACGUCCCUCUUUCAUUUCAGGCUCUCUCCUGCUCGGCCAGCGCGGAGGCCCAGCAAGGCCCUCAAAAUGUCCAAAUGCAGGCUUGGCCCGGACGGGAGAAAAAGGCUGGGCAGGACCAGUGGGUCACACUUGGCCCCGUUGUGCUUGUUUGGUGCAGGGUCCAGAGGCGGUGACUCCCGGAGGGUCUCAGGGCUAACAACGCCAGAGGCGCGGGGGGCGCGGGGGGCACGCCUCGGAGAGCCCUCGUCUACCCGGCUGGGUACCUGCGGACACACCUGCACACACCUGCACGCGGGAAGCCGGGAAAGAGUCUAACACCGUGGCCCACCGAGGGUUUGCGUCUGCCGCUCAUGGGAGGCUGGCAAGAUUGCAGUUAUGGGUUGUGUCAGAAGAAUAUGGGUUUUCUCGGUUUUCCCAGAACGAGGAAGCUCCUCAGUGCACCCAGAGGAACUGCUUUGAAAAGUUAAUGCAAACCUUCGAAGGAAAGGGAGGAAGAAAGCAAAAUAGAAAGAACGUAGACGUAUAUGCCUUAUACAUGACUACAUGGAGCCUCGUAGAGAAGUAUGGACGAGGCCGCAUCGAUGUCAGCCUAUCCUCCCCCAGAGGGGCCGUGCUCGGAGCGGAGGGAGCGCCGCGGGGGGCUCAAACCACCCGUGUCAGCGUGAUCUGGUCACCCUGGGAGAGCAAGCCUCUCGGCUCCGGGGUGUGUCCUGCUUUCUAAAAGUCUGCACGGGGCCUGAAGUACGCACACCUACUUACUCUUGGUAUUUCUGCGUAGGAAAACCUAUCUAUCUAACGGCACUCGGUUAUGCAGUUGCUUUGUUUGGAGAGGAAUGGAAUGCAUUUUAGUUUUCAGAAGUUUUGGGGAAGGAGAACCCUCUGCCGGGGGGAGAGGGGAGGAGGAGCGGGUUCAAGCCAUGCAGCUUGCUGGCUGGCGGUGGAGAUAGGUCAGGAGAGGCGCUGACCCCUCCGGUCUUUUCCCUUCUCCCCCCGCGACCAAUCCAGACGGGAAAACCCCCAAGGGUGCCAUCGGGUGCCACACCUUGGGCCAUACCUUCCGGUGCCCAAACGUCUCCCAACUCAGGCCAGGGCUGGACACGACGACGGGCCGGUCCAGCCGUGGUCCCGGUGAUCUUUCCCUUCCUGCCCACGUUCUUCUUUCCUUCUUCUUCGAAACGACACUCUGGUGUCUCCCUCUCUCCUCUACACGUGCACUUUCUUCCCUUCUCUCUCCUCUCUCGUGUUCCUCCUCUCUUCCCCUCCCUGUCCCUUCAACUUGCCUCAAAAAGAAAACCAUUUUCAAGAUUUUUCAAGGGGUGUGUGUGGGGGGGUCUCCUUAGCUGUCUGCAUCUCUGCUGUUGCCGGUUUGAAAGUUGAGACCUUGCUAGCGAUUCCGAGGUCCUCAGUUUCCUCAAAUAGAUAGAUAUAUGAUUUUUUUUUUCCCUUAAAUGAGAUGAAAUGAGUGGCGUCCUGGGGUGGAGGGAGGUGCUGGCUGGAGUCGGGGCUGGGGAUGGGAUGGGGCGAGGGGAGGACGGGGAGGGGACGCGUCACUCAACGUUGCUGCUGUCGAAGGUGUGGCACUGAAAGUCCCCGUCGACAUACUCCAUGCCUGGCAGCUUCAUCCCAUACUUGUCCACGCACCAGCAGAUGCCACGUUUGCGGCCACGGGAAG